rnacentral:rRNA from 1 species
GGCGCACGGGUGCGUAACGCGUAUGCAAUCUACCUUUUGCAGAGGGAUAGCCCAGAGAAAUUUGGAUUAAUACCUCAUAGUAUAGUGAUAUCGCAUGGUACUACUAUUAAAGUCACAACGGCAAAAGAUGAGCAUGCGUCCCAUUAGCUAGUUGGUAAGGUAACGGCUUACCAAGGCUACGAUGGGUAGGGGUCCUGAGAGGGAGAUCCCCCACACUGGUACUGAGACACGGACCAGACUCCUACGGGAGGCAGCAGUGAGGAAUAUUGGACAAUGGGCGCAAGCCUGAUCCAGCCAUGCCGCGUGCAGGAUGACGGUCCUAUGGAUUGUAAACUGCUUUUGCACAGGAAGAAACAACGCUACGUGUAGCGUCUUGACGGUACUGUGAGAAUAAGGAUCGGCUAACUCCGUGCCAGCAGCCGCGGUAAUACGGAGGAUCCAAGCGUUAUCCGGAAUCAUUGGGUUUAAAGGGUCCGUAGGCGGUUUAGUAAGUCAGUGGUGAAAGCCCAUCGCUCAACGGUGGAACGGCCAUUGAUACUGCUAGACUUGAAUUAUUAGGAAGUAACUAGAAUAUGUAGUGUAGCGGUGAAAUGCUUAGAGAUUACAUGGAAUACCAAUUGCGAAGGCAGGUUACUACUAAUUGAUUGACGCUGAUGGACGAAAGCGUGGGUAGCGAACAGGAUUAGAUACCCUGGUAGU